AGUACCGAUUCCCUGUCAAUGAGGUGGAUUCCUGUCCCACAACUAAUGUCACAUGGUAUGAAGCUGGUUCAAGAUUAAACUGUUCUCAUGACUUCUUCAACAGGCUCCAGUAUCUAUGUAUUCCCAAUCAGGAAAAGACAACUCUACUCGAAUUUUGCUAUGACAAGAUAAUGGGCCUUUACGAAAAAGGACACUGCCUACAUUUAUCAACAUCUGGGUUUGUGGAUCAAGAGGAUUGUAGGAUGUUUAGCAAGGGAUGCCCAAGGACACCUUACUUCAGUAGCAACAUUUUCCAAUUUUCGAAAUGCUUGGAAAUAAACCGAGACAUAGGAUGCUUUUCUGCAGAUCUUGAUUGCCAUAU